GACAUCUUAAUUGUCUCUUAUUCACCCAUAUCACCUGCCCAUCUCCUUCCAGCACUCACCUGCCCUGCUUAUAACAGCAAAUCGGGCAGCCCUGUGUGUGUUUGACCUGCCUGGACUUCGUUUGUUAUCACAAAGGAAAACAAGCUCCUUUUUAUGGGUCAUUUCUUUGUUUUGCUCAGAAAAGGGUUACCCCGGGCCAGAGUCGAGGUCACAAAAUUUAUAUGGAGAGGGAGAGAGAGGAGGCAGGACGGGCUGUGACCGGAUUCUUUAGAGAGUCGGGGCCAGGAUGGAUCGGACAAGAAUUUGCAUUUGUGUGGGGUGAGCGGUGCCAUCCCCUCUCUCGGCCUGGGGGGUGAGGUAUGCUGGCAGAACCCUGACACCCCAGCAUCUUAGAGAAGCUGCUUCUCUUGGGCGCACUCUCUGUCCUUCGCUUCCUUCAGCAAUCGCGAUUUUUAUUUAGAAAGCUGAGUGCCUGCAAGAGCCAGUGCUGAGAUUGGAGGCAGCUGAACGGCCACAGAAUUCUGAUCCUUUUCAAGACGGAAUGAGCCACAGAGGAGAAACACUGGGUAGAAACCUCAACGGGUGAUAUUUUAAGGCCCCCUGCUUGUGACCUGGGCCAUCUUCCUGGAAGCUGAGGAGCCUGUCCUCAAAGGCUUGUAACCGCUGGCCUAAAGACUGAAUGCCUGCCUUGUUCUCCACCAAAGCCACUGCUAGAAAUUGGUGAACCAAGCAGAAAAUUCCAGGGCAUAGACUAUUGCAGGGGCUCCCGUUUGGAAGACUCUGCUCACACAGCUGGACAGAGUGAGCCAGGCCGGGAGGCAUCAUGUUCACGGUUCCAGCCCUGGUGUUACUGAGCUCCCACAGCUGGGCCCUGCGGAGGGGCUGGAGGGGACUGUGGGAGAGAGACCCCAGCACAGGCGAAAAGGAGGCCCCUGGCUGGCACUGGCCUGGCCCCUGCACCUCCAACAGAGCUGUUCUUGCCAAACUCCAAGCCCCCUCCCCAGGAGGCGUCCUGGUCUCGGCGAUAAUGGCAUGACCAUGGCUU